rnacentral:rRNA from 1 species
GGGAAUAACCCGGCGAAAGUCGGACUAAUACCGCAUAAAACAGGGGUUCCACAUGGAAAUAUUUGUUAAAGAAUUAUCGCUGAUAGAUGGGCAUGCGUUCCAUUAGAUAGUUGGUGAGGUAACGGCUCACCAAGUCCACGAUGGAUAGGGGUUCUGGGAGGAAGGUCCCCCACACUGGUACUGAGACACGGACCAGACUCCUA